UGAUAUUCAAAAGAUUUAUUUUUGAGUAAAAGAUAUUCAUAAAAAAGUUGGCAUGAGUCCUAUAAUAUUGGGGGUGGACCUACCUACCUUGAACCCAGGACCAAUUCCGGUGUGCUGCUGUCUAGGCCCAGCUCAGACGCCCACUGCUUUAUGCCCGAGCCCGAUUUCUCUCCGAGAGAUGCUAGACACACGGGCUAACUACAGGGGGUUUACGGGGUGGUGAAGAGUGAUUGGUUGAAAUUUUAUAAAGUGAGGCGGGCCCACCCGUGAAAAUGGGGGGGGGGGGUAUACCUGGCCAUAUCUCGGGCCGGGCCGGGCUUCGGGCCGGGCCAAAAAAAGCCCGACGUCUACGGGACAGGCCCGAGCCCGGCCCGGCCCGACACAUUUCUACGUUUCCCUGGCCCAGGCCCGGCCCGAGGCAAAGCCCGAAAGCCCGAAGCCCGGCCCGACGGCCCGACAGAACAACAUUAAACACUAAACUUUGAUAGUAAACGGCAGUACCCAAACUGCAGCUGAACAUCAGGAAAACAGCAGAAAUACAUAACUAGUUUUGACAGCAAAACAGCAGGAAAGAAUCACUAGUUUUGACAGCAAAACAGCAGCAAAAGGCAAUAGUUUUGAUAGCAGAACAUCAUAGUUUUGAUUGUAGAACAUCAUAGUUUUGACAGCAACUAAACGUUUCAGAUUCGACAAUCAGCAUGUAAACAUUCCAGUUUCGACAAUAGCAUCUAAAGUUCUAAAUGUUCCAGUUUCAACAAACACAAGUGCAUGAAUAUCAUUACAUUCCAGAACCAAAAUAAAAACUAGUAGAUGGAUGGCAUGCCUUCUCCGAAUCUUCUCUUCUCAUUGCUCUAGGAGUGUAGCAACAACUCUACAAGAUGGAAUGAACAGAAAGUUAGCGGUAGUAUAAUAUACUUGACAAUUGACAAUGACAUGAACAAAGAAUAGAGAUGUUACAUUCUUCAUCCGAAGAUGAAUCUUCAUCAUUAUCUAGCGCAAUCACUUCUUCUGCCUUUCUCUUAUUAUCUACAACAACAGAUUGGGUUAAUUAUCAUUUGGAAGUAAAACAUACAAAUAAGAAUGUGAAACAAACAAGAUUACAACAGAUACCUUCUUUUUUCUGCAGUUUGCAACGAUACCAAUCUUGCAAACACAUUAGGGCCUCAACCGUCUUUGGUUUAAGUGAGUUUCGGUUCGGGGUUAUAACCUUCUUACUCAAGCUGAAAGCGGAUUCUGAAGCAACACUUGACACAGGAACUGCAAGGAUAUCACGUGCCAUUCUUGCUAGUUGCGGAUACCUAGCUGCAGACUUACUCCAGAAAUCCAAGAUAUUGACAUUUUCAUUCAACCUCUUCGCAGGUUCAGCCAAAUACAAUUCCAAUUCAGAUCUCUCUUCAUGUGAGCUCGUGCUUUCCAGGUACUGAUCAUAGUCGGAAAAGGCACCAAGUCCACACGUGCUUGAUGAUGCACUUGUUGCUAAGUUUUCAUUGACAUGUACACCACUACCAUACUUAUUAAAUAAAGAAGUCAUUGUAGUUUUAACAAGAUUAAUGCGCUGAAGGGCAUCAUCACCAUCAUAUAGCUUGGAGUAGGCAUAUCCUAAAAACUUGAACUUAAUGCGGGGAUCAAGAACAGCAGCACAAGACAGAAAUAUGCUAUAGUCAGACCAAUAUUUCAUGAAUUUCUCCCUCAUAACUACCAACAUUGGAGCCAUGUAACUAUUUACUCCAGCACUAGCAUGUAUAAUAGCAGAAUGAACAAGAUAGACAUUCAUGAAGUACAAGUUGGCUGUUGGAUACUUUGUUCCUGAGAAAGUUGUAGUUACAUCGAAGAAAACCUCCAAGAACUGAUACAUAUGAGAUACCUUGGCCCAUUCUUCUUCGGAUAGCCAAAAGUUCACCUUGAAUAUGCUGUCCCUCUCAGAAUACCAAUGCAGCACGUCUCUAAAGUACAAACAGCAGCCAAGCAUAGUGUAGGUUGAAUUCCAACAGAUGGGCAUAUCAGGUUUCAACCUUUUUGUUUCUUCAAGGUUGAAUAUAGUUGUAGCAGUACUAUACAACUUAUGCAGCCUAGUGCUUGAAGCCUUUAGGUACAUUAUACCAUCUCUAAGUUUGUCAACACACUUAUCAAUCAAUGUCAAACCGGCUUGAACUACCAAGUUCAGUAUAUGUGCACAACAACGAAUUUGGAAGAAUUUACUGGACAAAGGUAAAGCACCUUUUGACAAGUGGGUACGCAAGCAAGCCACCAUCCUAUCAUUAUAGGCUGCAUUAUCCAGAGUGAUGCACAUCACUUUCUUAUCAAACCUCCAUUCACGGAAAGCUAGGUGGACCUCAUCGGCAAUAUAUGGUCCAUCAUAGGGUGGAUCAAUUUUUUUGAACCAUACAAUCCUUUUGUUUAGUUUCCAAUCAGCAUCUAUGUAAUGGCAAGUAAUGCAAAUAUAGCUAUGCUUGGUGACUUCAGAUUUCCAAUUGUCGGAUGUGAAACUAACUCUACCAGGGGCAGCUAAAAUAAUUUCCAUCAAUUCCUUUUUCUGGCUAAGAAACAUUGCCAUUAUCUCUCUUUUUAUUGUGUGUCGACCAAUAGACUUGAAUUGUGGACAACAAGCAGACAUCAUUGUUCUAAAUCCAUCUUCUUCAAGUGUUGUAAAUGGAUGAGCACCGGAUACAAGAUAAAUAGAGACCGAAUUUCUAGCAACUUGAGCAUCAAAUCUACCAUUUUUUAAUGCAGCUGUUCCAUCAUCAUUUGUUUCAGAUUUCAAGAAAAAAUUAUUCAUUGUCGCUUGUUCAACCUUAUGCUUACUUUCAAUGUGUCUAAGGAGAUGAGAUGUGCCAUUUGUCGAUUUAGCCGACAGUUUAGAGUCGCAAUGGUUGCAUUGAGCUAUAGUCAUCUCAUCACCAUCUUUCGAGAUCUUGGUGAAGUCAAGCCAUACCUUUGACUUCAGUUUGGAAGUAGUAGGUUGCGGCUGCGGCUGUGCCCCUUUGGCAGUAGGUUCUGCAUGUUGUGUUGUUGGUACACUUCCUCCAUCUCCAUGAACAUCAGAUGCUGCCUGUUUUCCAGUUGCUCUUGCACGUUUCUGCCGAGUUCGAGGAGGGUCGGCGGGUACAAUAAACAAUUCCAUUGGUCCAUCCUGCCCUUCUAAUUCUUCAGGAUGGUACUCUGGUUCAUCACCCUCCGGUCCUUCUAAUUCUCUUGAAUUCAUCAUGAUCAAACUGCAACAUAUACGUACAACAACAUAUUACUACCGCAUCACAUGCAAACAGCACAAGUAUUAGUAUAUAAGCGCGGACACAAGAUAAAUAUAGUAUAGCCAUCUGAACUACAUGUUUGCAAUUUUCAACAGCACCAUAUAACCAUCACCCCAUACUCCAGUACAUCCUAAAACAGCACCAUAUCCAUCCUAACAGCACCAUAUCAUCCUAACAUCACCAUAUCAGUACAUCUUUGGAGAUUUUCAACUACAAAAAAAUUAACCUUGGAGGCUUGGAGUUGCAGGCUGUAGCCGGCGGCGAGGAAGAUCGUUGGUGUGGCCUGUAGCCGGCGGCGAGGAAGCUCGUCGGAGACGGAGCGGGGCGGCAGCGGUUGGGGACGGAGCGGCGCGGCCGCGGUCGGGGAUGGAGCGGGGCCACCGCGGGCGGGGACGGAGCGGGGCCGCCGCGGGCGGGGACGGAGCUGCGCGGCUGCGGUCCGCCGCGGGCGAGGACGAAGGGCGACGAACGGCAGGGCAAGCUAGGCUAGGGUUCUACGUCGGCGCCGCCAUGUCGCUCGAGUGAGGAGGAGAGGCUGGGAGUGGGAGGAGGCCAGGAGGGGAUCGAGAAUUCAAGAUGGGGGCGUGGGAGGUGGGAAUUAGGGCAGCCAACGACGAGUGGGCCGCUCUUGGGCUGCUGUUUCCCAUUGGGCAUCGGCCUUACCUCCUCCCUCGCUAGUCGCUGCAGAGAUGCUCGGGCCGGGCCGGGCCUAAUUUCGGGCCAAUAUUGAAGCCCAGGCCCGACCCGAUUUGUUGUUCGGGCUGCAUUUCGAGGCCCAGGCCCGGCCCGAGGGACAAGCCCGGCCCGGCCCGGCCCGGAAAUUUCGGGCCGGGUCGUUACGGGCCGACCGGGCCGGGUUUCCCAUGGCCAGGUAUAGGGGGGGCAAAUUAGAGAAGGGCACGUGUCAGGGUCCGUAAAAGUCCGUCGAGAGAGCCCGUGUGUGUAGUAUUAUCGUUUCUCCCCCAUGCAAAAAAAAAGAAAAAACCCAUUUCUCCCCAGAAUACCCCUCCAACUCUAUAAAGUGCGCCCAGCCCGCGGUCCUUUCAGUUUACUCGAACUCCCCCAAACCAGCAGCGAAAUCUCCAUUCCGAC
rnacentral:lncRNA from 1 species